rnacentral:rRNA from 1 species
UACGGAGGGAGCUAGCGUUGUUCGGAAUCACUGGGCGUAAAGGGUGCGUAGGCGGGUCUUUAAGUCAGGGGUGAAAUCCUGGAGUUCAACUCCAGAACUGCCUUUGAUACAGCACAUCUGGAGUCCGGAAGAGGUGGGUGGAAUUCCUAGUGUAGAGGUGAAAUUCGUAGAUAUUAGGAAGAACACCGGUGGCGAAGGCGGCCCACUGGUCCGGUACUGGACGGCUGAGACGCGAAAGCGUGGGGAGCAAACAGGAUUGAGAAA